GCUAUAUUCCUCUCACAAAGGUGGAGGAGAAAUUACAUGUUGAGCAAAUAUCUAACUAUCACAGUUACUACAGAGGGGGACUUACUAACCCAAGGUCAAACCUGCCUGAUCACAACAGAAGAAAGUGCCACACAUGUGGUCAUACCCUUCAUUGUGACGUGAGUGCUCUGUGCCUUGGGAUUCCAGCUGAAGACCAACAUGCCCACAAGAAGUCUAACCCUCUCCUGGUCUUUCCAAGAAAGGCAUCUUGAAUGAAGGCCAGAAAUUAGCAACAAAAUUGCAGAAGGGAGUGAUAUGCAGGAAGACCUGAAAGGGAGAAGUUUGCAAACGAGGAACUGGCACUGUUGAUCUAGCACUGUCCAUGGGCUACAUCUCCGAGCAUGGCUGACGUGGCUACAGAGCAUUAUAAAGUGAAAGUUUUCAAAGGGAAUGCAGGGGACCUUGAGGCAAAUGGAAAAGGAGACUUACGAGGUUUGCCGCACCUUCCUGACAGGCACCCAGGACCCGACCCUGGAUCCAAGCAGUAUUUUGCAGUUCCUGUUAAAAUCAGAGGAGGAAGACCGGACUCUACAUCCUUUAGGCUUGUCAUUUUGAGCUCCCAGUCAAAUUAGAGAGACGGCACACCAUUCCCAAAUUGCUGAAUGGCCGAGCAAACCUUUUGCACCCUCAUCUUCACACAUCUUUCACGGACCACCUCAAUCAGAUGUGAACUGAUAUUCCUAAGAGACAAGUGAGGAAGGGGAUGCUUCUGCAUCUGUCUUUUGAGGAGCAAAGCAGCAGAUCUCUCUGACAGCAUAAUGUUCUGUCAUUCCUUUCAACUCAGGAACUGAGCUGACAGCUCCCCCAGAAACUGUGCCUCCUCCAUCUUUUCUCACCCCCAGAAAGCGCUCCUGGAAACAAAGAGGACAACUAUAAUGGGUGUGACCCAAGAAGUCCUAAUGGGCAGGCCAAAUGAAGGGCAGGCCAAAUGAAGAGCAGACGGAUGGGGCUGUAUCAGAUCUGAGACAAGGAUUUGAGUGCAAGUAGUUUAUAGGAGAGCUGAUUCCAGGUAAGAGAGUGCAGAGUAAAAUACAGGGCAGGAAAGGAAGCCAGUUGCAGGUUUUCAAUAUGGGCAACUGGGACUCAGCCCACAGGGAACCUCUGGGAGACUGUGUGGAACAUGCUCACAUUUGUCAUGCCCAAGGGCAAAGAAGCUGGGUAUUUAUGUUCUAUUCUUUCCCUGGUUGAGAGCUGUUCUCAGGGGUGCUAACUCCCUGGCAGUACUACCCUCUGGUUGAGCACGCUUCAAGUAGAGAAGACCACCAGGCAGAGGGAUCAGGUGCUUGCAGAAGAAAACCAUUAGCUGGGAAGGGAAUGGUGAGUGCAGAGAGGAUAAGUUUAGAGACUCCAACUGUGUCUGCCAACCCCAGGUGACUCCAUUCCAUUAUCAUUUGAUCCCAGGUCUGAGGAAGUAAAAGAGAAGCACGAAGAGAGAGGAAGGAGAGAGAGACGGAGGAGAGGGUAGAGGGCACCAUUAGGAACAUGGUGGGCUGUCUAUUCAUGGGCAGUCACUUUGAAAUUAUCUUCUUUGCCAUCUAUGCAACCUGUUUUCUCAUCUGUUGAAUGAGAAUAAUAGAAUUCUGUAUCCCAUGAGGUGGGAUUACAUGAGCUAAUGUGUGUGAAGCACUUAGAACACUGUCUGGCACAAGUACAUUCUCAAUUAUUGACUCAGCUUUGCCUGGUUCGUAGGCUUGAGAAUAUAUUGGAAACCCCUUUCCCACCCAUGAUGUAGAGAUUGAAAUCACUCUUAAUGUCUCAAUCUGAGGCAAAAAGAUUUUGGGAGACUCCUGCCAUACUAAGUCAGAUCCUCAAGCUCUUGGAUGGGCCUCACCUCCUAGACAAUUCCUUUCCCGUGAUUACCAUCCAGUUGAGCAGUCUAUACGAUGAGCCUCUGCUUUGGAGUCCUGCCCAGUGUUCAUGACCCCACCAAGGGUGGAGCCUUGCCCUGCACCCCUGUCCCAGUUGGCAAGAAC
ensembl:lincRNA